UUAAAUUUCCUAUAAUUCUUAUGAAGAAAGGUUUUACUGAAUCGAAAUUUAUCUAUGUCAAAAAUUAGUAUUUUUACGCUGUUUGUUGUAAAUCGUUUUUCAUAUUUUCUAUAUAAGUUGUUUCAGUAAGAUCCGAAUAUCUCUCUGAAUAAUGAUCCGAUUCUAGCGAUCUUGGUACUGUUGAAGAGAUAAUUCAAUUUUCCAAAUGUUUUAUGAAGAAGCCAUUCACUAAUUAUUGAUUAUUCUAAGUCAAAAUUAUUGUUUUAUUGCUGUAGUUCGAAAUCCAUUUGUUUCAGGAUUUCUAGAAAACUGUUUCGGUAUAAUAUCUAUAUCUCUUACGUUAUAAGUCCGAUUUUAAAGAUUUUAGUGUCAUUAGAAAGGGAAUUUGAUUUUCUAAAACUUUUAUGAAGAGAGUAUUCUCUGAUUUGGAAUAUUUCAGUAUCAAAACUUUGUAUUUCCGAUGUCUCCUGUGAUUCGUUACUCCAUAUUCCUUCUCAGAAAUAGUUUCAGUAAAACUAUCAUAAAUCCCUCAGUUUUAAUCCAUUUUUAAUGAUCUAUAUAUCGUUGGAAAGAUAAUUGAAUUUCCUAUAAUUUUUAUGAAGGAAACUUUUACUGAAUUCGUAUAGUUAUUGGUCAAAAAUAGUAUUCUUUCUGCUGUACUGUAAGAGUGUGAAUUUUAAUGUUAGGGCCUUGACCCAUGUGUUAUUAUAGGUAGUAGUGACGAGAUAACAAGUUUAAGCAGCGGGAUUUGAGGUAUUAGACAGGGAAGUAUGUAUAGUGAGCAGGGUCAGUUCUGGUACGUAUACUGUGAGCGGCUACGGGCGGACAAACGAUCUAGAACGCCAGUGGUGCCUUAGUUUUAUUUUAAGCAGUUGAUAAAUCUAACACAGUGGAAAUGCAUUAUUUAAAAUUAUUUACUUACUGUAUCUUGUUUUACAAAUGAAGGAUCCUUCUCUGUUGCAUUUUGAUUUUUUUUAAAAUCCACUGUUGUAUUUAAAUUAUUAUUUUUUUUUAUCUUUUAAAAUUAUGCAUGAAAAUAGUAUUUUUGUAAAAUAAGCCAAAAUAAUCGGGGCGUUACAGUUGGUAUCAGAGCCGAUCAUCCGUUAGCCCGAAGGAUACUCACGGUAUACAUACAGAAGACUGAAAAAGAUCCCUCUCACUAUUAUGUAAGUGUUAGUUUUAAUUUUCUUGGUAUUGCCAUUAAUAGUUUUAUAUGUGAUACAUA